rnacentral:rRNA from 1 species
AAUGAACGCUGGCGGCGUGCCUAACACAUGCAAGUCGGAUGUGCCGCAAGGUGCAUGGCAGACGGGUGAGUAACGCGUGGGGAACCUACCUCUUCGUGGGGAAUAACGAUCCGAAAGGAUUGGUAAUACCGCAUGAGACCGACGGCUGGGAUGCUGUCGGUGAAAAGCUGGGGACCGGAAACGGCCUGGCGCGAGGAGAGGGUCCUGCGUCUGAUUAGCUAGUUGGUGGGGUAACGGCCUACCAAGGCAUCGAUCAGUAGCCGGCCUGAGAGGGUGAUCGGCCACACUGGAACUGAGACACGGUCCAGAUCCUACGGAGGCAGCAGUGGAGUUAGUGC